rnacentral:rRNA from 1 species
UGGGGAAUAUUGCGCAAUGGGCGAAAGCCUGACGCAGCCACGCCGCGUGUGUGAUGAAGGCCCUCGGGUCGUAAAGCACUGUUUGGAGGGAAGAAGUUCUGACGGUACCUCCCAAGAAAGCACCGGCUAACUCCGUGCCAGCAGCCGCGGUAAUACGGAGGGUGCAAGCGUUGCUCGGAAUCACUGGGCGUAAAGGGUACGCAGGCGGCUUGUUAAGUCGGGUGUGAAAGCCCAGGGCUCAACCCUGGAAUUGCGCCCGAUACUGGCAGGCUUGAGUACGGGAGAGGGAAGCGGAAUUCCUGGUGUAGAGGUGAAAUUCGUAGAUAUCAGGAGGAACACCAGUGGCGAAAGCGGCUUCCUGGCCCGAUACUGACGCUCAUGUACGAAAGCGUGGGGAGCAAACAGGAUUAGAUACCCCCGUAGUCC